CAGGCGGAGCCUCGGACCCUGCCCUCCACCUUCCCCGGGCUUCCGUGCUGUGCUGGCCCGGUGCUGGCGCUGGAUUGAGGUUGGAGCUGUUUUGCUGCGCUCGAUUCCUGAGGGCCCUGUUCUGUCUGCUUUCCUUCCUUCGGCCCGGUUCCUCCUUCAGCACCUCCACCCAGCACCCUCCAGACCUCCUUUACCAUCCCCUUCUUAACCAGCCAGCUUUCUCGUCCAUCCCCCAGUAAUUUCUUAUUUAGCGACUGUCCGCCGUGCGCCGGAUGCUCUCUGUUGCUUGCGCAAUUAAUCCUUGUAUCAGUCGGCUUAGUUUACAGGAGAGGGAACCGCGGCUCCGCUGCGCGUCUUUGGACGACUCACUCGUCCUUCUUGAGGGAGGUUUGUACGUAUGAGGGACAAAGGGGCAAAUCUCUGGCCCGAGAGGGCCUGCUGGGGGAUUCUAAAACCGGAGCCCCGGGGCUUCUGCACCAAGACUAGCCUAGGAGGAAUGUUGUUUCAGCAUCCAAGCUACUCUCUUUUUCCAUCCCAUCCUCUCUCCCUGUUGCCUGUGCUGGGAUGCCUUGGCCAAGGCAGAGAGCCAGCGUCCGGUUCCAUCCAUGGGGCCACGGAGCACUGCCGUAUUGUCUGGGUGGGGGCCACUGAGGACAGAUACCUGUUUCCUCUUCCUCAAGUUGCCAUCCUCUGCCCUCUGCACCUCACUGCCCUUACAGGUGGGCUGUGCCUGACUGUGACUUGCACAGGGAGACUGCGCAGCUGAGACCCAGAUUCCUUGGGCCUCCACGCCUUUAUAAGCAGGAAUCAUGCCAGCAGCUGGGCCUGAGGAGCAACGAGGAUAUCUAUCUUGACCCUGGCAGCAUUAUUUAGGCCACGACAGAUCUACAAGCGUUUCAAAAUAGCUUGUAGAGGACAGGUUUCCUCUAUCUUUGUAAUCUUGUAGUUGCACCAAGCUACCGUCUACCUCUGUGGCUCCAGAAGCAUGUAAAUCAGUUAUCCAAUCUCUCCCCAGAUUCAUGGACUAUCUGCCAUGCCCCGAACACCAGACAGAGUGCUAAGGGGACACGAAGAUGAAUAAGAUGUGACCCCUGCUCUCCAGGAUCCUGUCACAUAGAUGAAGAGAUAGAACAUAUCCAUAAAAAGAUAACUAAUGACCGACAUGGCCAGCCGCCGACACGUGUUAUGGUCCUGCGGGCUACAGAAAUUCAGAGGAGGAAGACAGAUGACUGCAGUGUGGCAGCUGCUCCUCGGGCACUUCCAGGAGCUUGUUAGGUUCUGUGGGUUGACUGGGCAUUCUGCAUCACAAGGUGUGGCUGGGCACUGGAACAGCUGAAGUCACCUGGGAGCUGACCGAGUUGGAUUGUCCGGGAUGGUUCACUCCUACGGCCAACAGUGGAUGCUCAACUGGGGCUGUCAACUGGAGCCCCCAUAGCACAUCCACCCAAGCCAAGGACCUACAACUCUGAAUUUCUGGCCUGCCUCCUUCCAGCUAGAAGUGAAUCUAGAUUUACAUGCCAUCAGGAACAAGCACCGUCUUCCUGUUCUGAGUCCCUAGUUGUAGAAGGUACUGCUUUCAUCCUGAGAAUAUCAAUCUAUGUGCACAAGGUCCCUUUCUGUGGAGGAGUGGGUACUUAAACCUAAGUGCCUUUGUGAACAUGGGGGUCUCCAAGUUUUCAGUAGGUGAAGCCAGCAGGCAACAGCUCACACUGGCAUUUUGUCAGUCGGGCACCUUCAUCUUGGCAUUUGGGCUUCCAUCCAGGCUGCCUCAGCUCUUCUGAAAGAACAAGGCCUGCAAAUAGUUCAUCCACAGAGCUGGCUUGGCAAGUGAAGGCUUCUCAGCCCGAGCAGGGGGCUCGAUCUGGCUGCUCUCCUUUCCGUGGCCUCGGGUCCAGCCCUCACUUCUUACCUCCACCAGAUUUGAAGUUUUCAAAGCUAUCUGAGGCUUCGGGAAAAGUUCUGUGUUUGGACAAAGCUUUGCAAUAAGGCAGAUCUGGGUUUGAAUCUUACCGAUUUAUUUAAACCUCAAAACCUCAAUUUUUUCUGUAAAAUAAAGAUGUUAAUCAUAACCUA